rnacentral:rRNA from 1 species
UACAGAGGAUGCAAGCGUUAUCCGGAAUGAUUGGGCGUAAAGCGUCUGUAGGUGGCUUUUUAAGUCCGCCGUCAAAUCCCAGGGCUCAACCCUGGACAGGCGGUGGAAACUACCAAGCUGGAGUACGGUAGGGGCAGAGGGAAUUUCCGGUGGAGCGGUGAAAUGCGCAGAUAUCGGGAGGAACACCAAUGGCGAAGGCAGCUCGCUGGGACGGUACUGACGCUGAGGCGCGAAAGCGUGGGGAGCAAACAGG